UACGGGAGGCAGCAGUGGGGAAUAUUGCACAAUGGGCGCAAGCCUGAUGCAGCCAUGCCGCGUGUAUGAAAAAGGCCUUCGGGUUGUAAAGUACUUUCAGUCGUGAGGAAGGUGUUAAGGUUAAUAACCUUAGCAAUUGACGUUAGCGACAGAAGAAGCACCGGCUAACUCCGUGCCAGCAGCCGCGGUAAUACGGAGGGUGCGAGCGUUAAUCGGAAUUACUGGGCGUAAAGGGCACGCAGGCGGUUAAUUAAGUUGGAUGUGAAAUCCCCGGGCUUAACCUGGGAAUGGCAUUCAAGACUGGUUAGCUAGAGUCUUGUAGAGGGGGUUAGAAUUCCAUGUGUAGCGGUGAAAUGCGUAGAGAUGUGGAGGAAUACCGGUGGCGAAGGCGGCCCCUGGACAAAGGACUGACGCUCAUGUGCGAAAGCGUGGGGAGCAAACAGGGAUUAGAUACC
rnacentral:rRNA from 1 species